CCCAGCAACUGCAAUAGGACAAGGAAACAUACUACCACUAGACCCAGCACCAGCAAUAGGACAAGGAAACACACUACCACUAGACCCAGCACCAGCAAUAGGACUAGGAAACACACUACCACUAGACCCAGCACCAGCAAUAGGACUAGGAAACAAACUACCACUAGACCCAGCACCAGCAAUAGGACAAGUAAACACACUACCACUAGACCCAGCUCUAGCAAUAGGACAAGGAAACACACUACCACUAGACCUAGCACCAGCAAUAGGACAAGGAAACACACUACCACUAGACCCAGCACCAGCAAUAGGACAAGGAAACACACUACCACUAGACACAGCACCAGCAAUAGGACAAGGAAACACACUACCACUAGACCCAGCACCAGCAAUAGGACAAGGAAACACACUACCACUAGACCAGCACCAGCAAUAGGACAAGGAAGUGCACUACCACUAGACCCAGCACCAGCAAUAGGACAAGGAAACACACUACCACUAGACCGAGCUCCAGCAAUAGGACAAGGAUCAGCGCAACCGCAGCCACUAGAUCAAGCACCUGGAACAAGACCAGCACAGUCGGAUCCCUGUAUGGGUGUCCGGUGUCCACGCGGCCAGCUCUGCCGCAGCAUCAGAUGCCUGACCCCCCAGACCUGCACACCCCAGGCUGAGUGUGUCCGUAAAGUGAGACGAGGACUUUGCCCGGUAACUGUGUAUCACCCCCAGGGCACUGUGGUGUGCGGUCGAUAUCAGGAAUGUACUUUCGACUAUCAGUGCCCGGGAAAUCUGAAAUGUUGUGGUCCUUGCAAAGUCUGCCAACACCCAGUUGUGGUCCAUUCUAAAUACGUGUUUCUAGGUUGAGUAACACCUGACAUCCAACACACCACUGGUGCAGACGGAACACGUCUGUGUAGCGGCAACUUCUGGAUCACGGUGUAUUUAGCAGGUAGUGAAGCUAGAAGGAUGAGAGUGGCUAGUUGUUCAUGAGACUUUCUCCUGUGUAGCCGUCUAUAACCAGGACACUGCCGCAGCCCCAGGAUGAGGAUAUGAAGUGACUGCGUAAUAACCCGUUGCUAUGCAACACAAGAAUGUUUGUUAUUAGUAUGUUUUCAAAACUAUGAAAAAAUGUCAUCAACCCCCAAGUAAGAGAUUAUCACUAUGAAUGUAUUACCUGUGUUAAGUAUUAUUGGUGUUUUAUUUACUACUGAAUAAAAGUGAAUUUGUCAACAAACGUGUCGGUCGGUCCAUCUGCAUCUGACAAUUACUUAUACCACGACAAGAUCGUAGCAAACACACAUCCAUCUGUCUGUCUAUAGACAUAUAGACACCUGCAACAAGAACGUUAAAAACACAAGUUCGUCUGUCUGUAUGCCUCUGGCACCUAUACAUGUCCAAUAGCAGUGUAACCUAACUUCCUAACCGGCAGCAACUGUCAUAGAGUCAUUGACGGAUAAUCCCUCACCGGAAAUAAAAACUGGGAAUAUAUGGUAUAUGGAUUUGCACCUUACAGCAUACUAGUAAUGAAAAACGUUUGAGUAACAAUGAUAUAUGUUGUCCUGAAGUUUUCAACGACAGUUUUUGCACGGAACUGUACCUCAGAACAACAGGCACAAUGACAGGAGGAGCACAACUCGGUCAACUUGGCGGGGUCACUUUUUCCUUUUAUUGACGUAGUGAAUUCAGUGGCAGGGUAUGUUCUGAUUGACAUUUACUGAACGAUAUGAGGUCAGGAAUAUAUCUGAAGAUUCACCUUCUCAGCCAGAUUACAUUGGCUUUGAUGUUCCCAGUCAUUGCAGCAAGUCCAGUUAUACCGAUAUAGAAAACAAUGGCUAGGAAGGGAGCACAACUGUUCGCAGAGAAGGGAGGACAAUUGUUGGCAGAGAAGGGAGCACAAUUGUUGGUAGAGAAGGGAGCACAACUGUUCGCAGAGAAGGGAGGACAAUUGUUGGCAGAGAAGGGAGCACAAUUGUUGGUAGAGAAGGGAGCACAAUUGUUGGUAGAGAAGGGAGCACAAUUGUUCGCAGAGAAGGGAGGACAAUUGUUGGCAGAGAAGGGAGCACAAUUCUUGG
rnacentral:lncRNA from 1 species